UCGCGACCCCAUCUUUCCUUUCUUGGGUUUGUUUCUUGCGCCACCCCUUCUUUGUCCUCCCCUUCCCCUUCUUUCCUUUCUCUCCGAUGGUGGAGUCUAGGCGACGAAGGCGACCCUAGCACUGGAUGGAGCCCUCGAUGGAGCACGCGCCGCCGCCGGCGAUGGACCAAUGGUCGUUGCUUAGGUUCAUUGUGCAUACAAAAGCUAUUAUUCAACCUCGCCCUUUUCCUUGGCGUCUAGACACAGUUACUAUUGAUAAUUUGAAGAAGGAGUUGAUGCAACUAGGGUUAAGCAGAGAUGAUUUUAUCUACUAUAGAAGCAUCCAUUGACAGGAAACCUGAUUGGUUUGUAGAACCAGCUCCAUAUAUGUGUUGCUCAACAUGGAACAUCUAUUGUUGAGCAUGGAGCUACUGUUGCUCAAGCUGCAAUUGUUGUUGAGCAUUGAGUUGUUGUUGCUCAAGCUCCAAUUGUUGCUGAGCAUGGAGCAGUUGAUGCUCAAGCUCCAAUUUUUGCUGAGCAUGGAGAAGUUGUUGCUGCCCAUGGGUCAACUAUUGGUGAUGAUCAUGUUGCAAGUGGUGUUGAUUCUGUGCAGGUGUAGGUUGUGGCUAAUGGUCAGGAAUACCAAUCAGGGUUUGUUGAUGGUCCAACUGUUGAUGAAGAAAUUUAGUUAAGUCAAGCUAAUUAACAAGAUUGUUGUAUUUUUUUCCCAUGAAGAGUACAAUGUUGCUGACUAUAGUGAUGAUGAGGACCUUGAUAUUUAUGUGAGACAAAAAAGAUGAGAAGAGAAUAUGAAGAGAAGUGGCAGAAAGAGAUGGCAAAACUGGUGUUUAAUCAGAGGAUGAGUAUGAGGAUAUUUUCUGUUGGUGAGGAUGCUGACCCAAUGGUGAAGUGCCACUCGGAAAUAUUGAAGCAAAUUUAUUUGGCAAAAGCAGAGGUAGCAAGCAUAAGAGAAGGAUGGAAGAUAGGAAGAUGGUUGUACAAGAGAGAAUGGCAGAGAAGAUGAAGCUAGUUGAUGAGAAAAUAAAAAUCAAGGAAGGAGGAGUGUGGUUUAUCUGAUGAGAAAAACCAAUCAACUCUAGAAUGCAAUUUGAUGAUUCAGUUAUGAGCAGACAACGUCCAUGUUCCGGUUUGCUUCUUUGAAUCAUCAAAUUGCUCUACUGAAACCAUGUGUGUGUCACUGAACUACUGAACACAUGCUUGUGUUCAUAUACCUAGAUUGGUACUCUAAAUAUGGUGAUUCAAAUGCAAUUCUACU